rnacentral:lncRNA from 1 species
AGACAUCCGGGAAUUGUAUUUUUCGAUGAAACAAGAAUAAGCUUUGUCAGCCUCUGGAUUCUACUCAUAAGAGCAGCCUUUGCUUCCUCUUCUUCCUCCAAUCUUGAUUGCAUUUUGACUUGGCCUUCUUCCAACUAGUUGGAAAAUAGCAAAUACGAUAUGUGAAUUUAAAUCAUAAACAAAAAUUAAGCCAUGCCACAAUCAACCAAAACUGAUAUAUUGAGAAGAAAACCUUCUGCUUCAAAGUGAUAAUUUCCUCAUGACUGAUACCAACAAGCAUCCCCUUCCUUAGCUGAUCAAGCUCUUCUUUAAGGACUGAAAUUUCUCUUUG